rnacentral:rRNA from 1 species
UACAGAGGGUGCAAGCGUUGUUCGGAAUUACUGGGCGUAAAGCGUGUGUAGGCGGUCCACUAAGUCGGAUGUGAAAGCCCUGGGCUCAACCCAGGAAGUGCACUCGAAACUGGCGGGCUAGAGUAUCGGAGAGGUUGGUGGAAUUCUCGGUGUAGAGGUGAAAUUCGUAGAUAUCGGGAGGAACACCGGUGGCGAAGGCGGCCAACUGGACGAAUACUGACGCUGAGACACGAAAGCGUGGGGAGCAAACAGG